rnacentral:snRNA from 1 species
UUUUUCCCAUUGGGUUUUCCUGGU